rnacentral:rRNA from 1 species
UGGGGAAUAUUGGGCAAUGGGCGCAAGCCUGACCCAGCAACGCCGCGUGAAGGAAGAAGGCUUUCGGGUUGUAAACUUCUUUUAUUGAGGACGAAACAAAUGACGGUACUCGAUGAAUAAGCCACGGCUAACUACGUGCCAGCAGCCGCGGUAAUACGUAGGUGGCGAGCGUUAUCCGGAUUUACUGGGUGUAAAGGGCGUGUAGGCGGGACUGCAAGUCAGAUGUGAAAAGCCAUGGGCUCAACCCAUGGCCUGCAUUUGAAACUGUAGUUCUUGAGUGAUGGAGAGGCAGGCGGAAUUCCGUGUGUAGCGGUGAAAUGCGUAGAUAUACGGAGGAACACCAGUGGCGAAGGCGGCCUGCUGGACAUUAACUGACGCUGAGGCGCGAAAGCGUGGGGAGCAAACAGGAUUAGAUACCC